rnacentral:rRNA from 1 species
UUCCACCUACGGGGCGCAGCAGUGAGGAAUAUUGGUCAAUGGCCGAGAGGCUGAACCAGCCAAGUCGCGUGAGGGAUGACGGCCCUACGGGUUGUAAACCUCUUUUGUCGGGGAGCGAAGAGAGUCACGUGUGGCUCAUUGAGAGUACCCGAAGAAAAAGCAUCGGCUAACUCCGUGCCAGCAGCCGCGGUAAUACGGAGGAUGGGGGCGUUAUCCGGAUUUAUUGGGUUUAAAGGGUGCGCAGGCGGAGGUGCAAGUCAGUGGUCAAAUUGCGGGGCUCAACCCCGUACUGCCGUUGAAACUGC